AUUGAACGCUGGCGGCAUGCCUUACACAUGCAAGUCGAACGGCAGCACGGGAGCAAUCCUGGUGGCGAGUGGCGAACGGGUGAGUAAUGUAUCGGAACGUACCUUUCAGUGGGGGAUAACGUAGCGAAAGUUACGCUAAUACCGCAUAUUCUGUGAGCAGGAAAGCAGGGGAUCGCAAGACCUUGCGCUGAUUGAGCGGCCGAUAUCAGAUUAGCUAGUUGGUGAGGUAAAGGCUCACCAAGGCGACGAUCUGUAGCGGGUCUGAGAGGAUGAUCCGCCACACUGGAACUGAGACACGGUCCAGACUCCUACGGGAGGCAGCAGUGGGGAAUAUUGGACAAUGGGCGCAAGCCUGAUCCAGCCAUGCCGCGUGUGUGAAGAAGGCCUCGGUU
rnacentral:rRNA from 1 species